rnacentral:rRNA from 1 species
AGAGUUUGAUCAUGGCUCAGAGUGAACGCUGGCGGCAUGGCUAAAACAUGCAAGUCGAACGUGCCCGCAAGGGCAAGUGGCGAAAGGGUCAGUAAUGCGAUCGAAUGUACCCUGAGGUGGGGGAUAGGGCGGGGAAACUCGCCAUAAUACCCCAUGAUGUCCUCGGACCAAAGGUUUACCGCCUUGGGAGCAGCGAUCGUCCUAUCAGCUAGUUGGUGGGGUAAAGGCCCACCAAGGCGAAGACGGGUAGCAGGUGUGAGAGCACGACCUGCGACAUCGGGACUGAGACACUGCCCGGACUUCUACGGAAGGCUGCAGUAACGAAUCUUCCGCAAUGGGCGAAAGCCUGACGGAGCAAUGCCGCGUGUGGGAUGAAGCGGCUACGCCGUGUAAACCACUGUCAGGGGGCAGGAACAAUGACCGCCCCCAGAGGAAGAGCCGGCUAACCCUGUGCCAGCAGCCGCGGUAAUACAGGGGGCUCGAGCGUUAGUCGGAAUCACUGGGCUUAAAGGGUGCGUAGGUGGCUCGUCAAGUGUUUUGUGAAAUCCCACAGCUCAACUGUGGAACAGCAGGGCAAACUGGCGAGCUUGAGGCAGGUAGGGGCCGGAAGAACAGUUGGUGGAGCGGUGAAAUGCGUAGAUAUCAACUGGAAUGCCGAUGGGGAAGCCGUCCGGCUGGGCCUGUCCUGACACUGAGGCAC